ensembl:lncRNA
UAUCAUCUUUGCUGUUUUGAUGGUCAUCAAACUCAUGUUGCUUGCUCCUCCACUGUGCAUUCUUUAUCAUAUCCUUAAAAAAGCAGGUAGUUUUGAAGAAUCAAAUCAUUACAUCUCUCCAGUGUUGCUCUCAACUGAAGACACAGUAGUUGAUCUGGUCUCUCAGAAAACUCCAGGCAUUGGUUAAGACACUGAAAAAACACAGUCUAGACUUUUGUAGAAAAAUCUCUUUAAAUGAAAAAUGCCAACACAAUGAAUAUAGAAUACAUGGAGACAGAUUCAUUUUUUAAAUAAACUGCUUCUCAUUUGCAAAUGAAUCGUUAACCAGUGAGUAGAAAAUACUACAGUUAAACCUUCUUUUUUGAAACAUGGCAUAGCCAAAUUUUCCAAAAUACAUUUGGAUUUUUAUUCAAUUUGAUCCUAAAUGAGUGACUAAGACCAUGAACUCAACAGGAUUGUGUUUUCCAUUGCCGUGUACCCACAGACUCAUAGUACUGAAAGCCUUUACGCAGCCAGAGAUAUUGCAUUGUAGCGGCCCUUCACAUAGGAUGCAGGUUUAAGGCACUUUCACAUUGGCUUCAUCUUUAUAAACAGACAGCUACACUGUUGUUUUGUAUUGUAUGGUUGUACCAUUGGGCAUUCAGAUUAGUGAGCAUAUGUGAAAAUAUGUGACCCUCAAAAUUUAAAAAAGUAAUCCCUGGAGUAUUUGUUAAAAGCAUUUUAUGCCAUAUUUUAAAUUCAUCUCAUUUUUUUUUUUAACUAAAACCACCUGUUAGUUGUUUCCCACAAAAUGUGUCAUGCUGUAACUCAUCUCAGUCUGAGUUAUGAAGUAUUAGCACAGGUCAAUACAAUGAAGUGUCAGAUGGGCCACUGUAGUAUCACUUUUUACCUCAAGAUGAAACCGUCAUUUGAUUUUAAUGAAUAGUAGAACGAAAUCACAUAUUAUGUAUUAUGUUGUUUGUGGUUUUGUUUUUCCACUUUUUCUUGAUGUACUCACCUUUAGUUUAUUUAAAAAAGCAAGAAAGUCAGUAAAUGUGAAAAAUGAACGAAGAACAAUAUAUUUCAUCCAGUGCUGCUAGAAGUUAUAAGUCAUAAAAAUAUAAACUAUUAAGAGGAACAAAAAGAAAAAUGUAAACUGUAAAAUUUAAAAAAUGUUUAUUGUUGUUAUUCUUCACUUUUAGCAUUUCUCUUUUCUUUUAUAUUUCUUAGUGUUUUUUGUUCAUUUGUUUGUUUAUUACAAUAUUUUUUUUUUAUUACAGGGCCCAUUGAUAUUGGACGAAAUAUUAUAAAGCUUCUCAAAAUGUACUUGUUGCUUUAAAUUAGAAUUAGACAAACAUAACUUUUAG